UCAAGCUACUAAGGGCACUUGGUGGAUGCCUUGGCAUAAGGAGGCGAUGAAGGACGUGGUAAGCUGCGAUAAGCUUCGGUGAGCUGCAAACAAGCUUUGAUCCGGAGAUUUCCGAAUGGGGAAACCUCUCUCAAUAAACUUGAGAGACUACUCUCUGAAUAUAUAGGAGAGUUAGAGCUAACUCAGGGAAGUGAACCAUCUCAGUACCUGAAGGAAAAGAAAACAACCGUGAUUUCCAAAGUAGCGGCGAGCGAAAUGGAAAGAGCCUAAACCAUUCAAGAGCAAUUGCGAGUGGGGUUGCAGGACCGCAUAAGUAGAGUUAUAAAUCAAGGGGCUAGUUGAACGACUUGGGAAGGUCGGCCAAAGAAUGUGACAGCCAUGUAAGCGAAAGCCUUUUGACUCGAAGCGGUAUCCUAAGUACCGCGGGGCACGUGAAACCCUGUGGGAAUCCAGGAGGACCAUCUCCUAAGGCUAAAUACUACCUUAUGACCGAUAGUGAACCAGUACCGUGAGGGAAAGGUGAAAAGUACCCCUGCGAGGGGAGUUAAAAGUACCUGAAACCAAGUGCUUACAAGCAGUGGAAGGGCUGUGGUUGCAAAACCCGCCUGACCGCGUGCCUUUUGCAUAAUGAGCCGGCUAGUUAUUUUCUGUGGCAAGGUUAAGCGUAAGCGAGCCGUAGCGAAAGCGAGUCUUAAUAGGGCGAAUUGAGUCGCAGGGAAUAGACGUGAAACGGGAUGAUCUAUCCUUGGCCAGGGUGAAAGACGGGUAACACCGUGUGGAGGCCCGAACCAAUGUUGGUUGAAAACAGCUUGGAUGAGCUGAGGAUAGGGGUGAAAGGCUAAUCAAAUUCCGUGAUAGCUCGUUCUCCCCGAAAUAGCUUUAGGGCUAGCCUCAUGUGAUUUGUCUCGGUGGUAGAGAACUGAAUGGACUAGGGGCCUUACCAGGUUACUGAAUCCAAUCAAACUUCGAAUGCCGUUAACAACAGCAUGGGAGUCAGACAGUGGGGGCUAAGCUUCAUUGUCGAGAGGGAAACAACCCAGAUCAUCAGCUAAGGUCCCUAAGUGCAGACUAAGUGGGAAAGGAAGUGGAAAAGCACAGACAGCCAGGAGGUUGGCUUAGAAGCAGCCAUCCUUUAAAGAAAGCGUAACAGCUCACUGGUCAAGCAGUUCCGUGCCGACAAUUUAACGGGGCUUAAGUCUGCCACCGAAGCUAUGAAAUAUAUUUACUUAGGUAAAUAGAUUGGUAGGGGAGCGUUCCGUACUGGAUGAAGCCUUAUCGAGAGGAAAGGUGGACGGUACUGAAGAGACCCUGCCGGCAUAAGUAGCGAUAAACCAGGUGAGAACCCUGGUCGCCGAAAGUCUAAGGUUUCCUGAAAAAGGUUAAUCCGUUCAGGGUUAGUCGGUCCCUAAGUCGAGGUCGAAAGGCGUAGACGAUGGGGAACAGGUCAACAUUCCUGUACUACUAAGUGCGCGUUAUCACCAAUGGGGUGACGCAGAAGGAUAAGCUGGACGGCUGAUGGAUGCGCCGUUCCAAGCUCUUAGGGGGAACAAAUAGGAAAAUCCGUUUGUUCAUUAACCCUGAAAAGUUAUGGGGAGCCCGCAAGGGUUAAUCAAACCAGCUGAUUCCACACUGCCAAGAAAAACCUCUAGGGAGUUCACUCAGUAACCGUACCGCAAACCGACACAGGUAGACAAGGAGAGUAUCCUAAGGCGCUUGAGAGAACACACGUUCAGGAACUCGGCAAAAUAACUCCGUAACUUCGGGAGAAGGAGUGCCCCGUUAGGGUUAAUAGCCCGAAGGGGUUGCAGUGAAAUGGCCCAAGCGACUGUUUAACAAAAACAUAGGUCUCUGCAAAGUCGAAAACGACGUAUAGGGGCUGACGCCUGCCCGGUGCCGGAAGGUUAAGAGGAGAGGUUAGUCGCAAGACGAAGCUUUGAAUUGAAGCCCCGGUGAACGGCGGCCGUAACUAUAACGGUCCUAAGGUAGCGAAAUUCCUUGUCGGGUA
rnacentral:rRNA from 1 species